rnacentral:sRNA from 1 species
UAGAAACAUCCAGGCGAUGUUUUUAAAAAUCUCCGCCGCGACAUCCAAAGGACAUCUGCACCCAAUGUUUGUGGAUAUACCUGAGCUAUCCUCAACCUUAACUUCACGUUGUCUCCGCUACAUCCACCAUAGAAGUUCUUGAUGUCGAUGCGACAUCUCCGUUCUCAAUCUCUCCAUAUCCAGAUGACAGUCGAGACCUUCUUAUCAAGACCGCGCUGUCACGUCCUCGUAUACAUCACACGAUGUCCAAAUGGCCAGAUCAACACAGCGGAUGCAUUUUCACAUCACAUCUCUAUAUACAAUAUUUACAACAGACAUCACCUCCUAGGCCUUGUCGAAGCCUGAACAGACGACCGCUCCUCUUCCCUUUCCGUCUCGCCACCAGCAGACGUCUCGGCCAACAUCUCACUGGCAUUUCUUCGCCUAGACAGGCGGGUGGAAGGGGUCCUACCAGCGCCGCCCCUGCGUCCACCUCGACUAUUACUCCUACCCCUUCUCGAACCACCGCUACUGGAAUAACUCCCCUGGGUUUGCAAAGAGGAGGGACCGGUAGGGGUUGCUGCCAUACAACCAGCAUGGCCACUAGAAUCACCGGAUGCAGACUCACAGGGCGUGGCGUCCCGGAAUGGUGUCGUAUCCGAAGGAGGCGCUGAGAACAUAUAUUAGUACGAUCCACAAAAUAAGCACAGCAAACAGCAUCUUCUGCGCAGUUAGAUUGAUCGACUAUGCAGGUGGCGUCAGCUUUAGGGCACAUCCUAAGACUGAAGACAUGUACACGUACCUCCUUCAGCCGAGCUGUGACGCCCAUUGAAUUCAAAAAGUGCUAAUGGCGCAAUGAGUUUCAUGAUCUGCCACGAUACGAAGUGCUCACGAGUACGUGCACAGCUGUCACGAGGAGGACUGAUCCCCCGUUGACCCCUGGCUGACGAAAACUCACCUCGGAAAGAAGGAAGACCGAGAGGGGAACCGCUCUGCUGAGCAGCAGGCUGGCGCCAUCCUUCGGACAGCUCCGUUGCCAGAAUUCCCGAAACGUAUUCACGACCCAUCUCUGGAAAUCCUCCAGGGUGUUGAACGCGUCUGGGAUACGACGUUCCCCACCCUUAUCAACCAAGCCGUCAAACCAAAGCUUGUCCUCGUCCGAGGCUGCACGCUGAGCACUGCAGAAGUUGUCAGCGCUUUAUAGUAGAAAGAAGAACCCGAUGACGAACGCCUGCAAGCUGCCCAACCCCCAGACUCGUACACUUUCUUUAUCUCGGAAUCGACGAACUGGAAAAAAUGAACUGCCCUUCUUUGGAAGGUCCUGCCGCAGUCAUUAUCCUCGUUGUCCUCGGCUCGCCAUUGUUCUAUGUUCGCUUGGUAGAACAUAGCUUUUUCGCGCUUCACUGUUUAGCCAUGCUCCGCCAGAAAUAACUCACCAGGAACCCGAGACGAGCGAUCACCGCCGCUGGUUUGCGAAAGCCAUCAGGGAGGAAAUUCUCCGCGACGAUCCAUAGGUUUUGCUUAUCGCGGAUUGAAUCCUUCAACUAUAAGUUUGGUAAGCUACUAGCCUCGGGUGAGAAGUCAUUGAGCCACUAAGAUAUGAAUGUCGCUUCGAAGAUGGGUCAAUAAUGACUUGACCCAUCUUUCGAUCUCCUCCGUGGCGGAACUAUCGUUCUGUGGAACGAUUCCAGGUUCGAAUCGUUCCAUGAGAUCCUAGGCACAAUGUCCUUAGUUUGUGACUGGUGUAAAGAAGGCAAUUGAGACCCACGAUGACUACCUUGUAGAGAGUCGCGUGGCGGUAGGAAGGUAGCAUGCUUAAGGUCACCACCGCAUUGGCAUACUUUCGCGCAACUUCCUGGUGGAGAAUCAGCUGCGUGAAAACGAUGAAGAAGGAUGACAAUAUACUUUAGCCGCCGAACACUUAUCGGUGCGCAACCCUCGUCUGCAUCUCUUGAUGCAAUAACACAUAUACACCAAUGAGCUAGAUACAUUAUGUUCGAAGUGAAAUAUUACCUCGUAGUCGAUAAUAAGCUACUAGAAUACCAAGACCAAUAGCAGAUUCAGCACCAGCGAUAGUAAUAAUAUAAAUAGAAUAUGUUUGUCC